UACGAAGGGGGCUAGCGUUGUUCGGAAUUACUGGGCGUAAAGCGUGCGCAGGCGGUUCGCCAAGUCAGGUGUGAAAUCCCCGGGCUUAACCUGGGAAUUGCGCUUGAAACUAGCGGGCUUGAGUGCGGCAGAGGGGGGUGGAAUUCCACGUGUAGCAGUGAAAUGCGUAGAGAUGUGGAGGAACACCGAUGGCGAAGGCAGCCCCCUGGGUCGACACUGACGCUCAUGCACGAAAGCGUGGGGAGCAAACAGG
rnacentral:rRNA from 1 species